rnacentral:rRNA from 1 species
GUCGAGCGGAAGUUGAAGAGCUUGCUCUUCACUUUAGCGGCGGACGGGUGAGUAACACGUGGGCAACCUGCCCUGCAGAUCGGGAUAACUCCGGGAAACCGGUGCUAAUACCGAAUAGUUUUGGGUCCCUCCUGGGACCCAACGGAAAGACGGUUUCGGCUGUCACUGCAGGAUGGGCCCGCGGCGCAUUAGCUAGUUGGUGGGGUAACGGCCCACCAAGGCCACGAUGCGUAGCCGACCUGAGAGGGUGAUCGGCCACACUGGGACUGAGACACGGCCCAGACUCCUACGGGAGGCAGCAGUAGGGAAUCUUCCGCAAUGGACGCAAGUCUGACGGAGCAACGCCGCGUGAGUGAUGAAGGUUUUCGGAUCGUAAAACUCUGUUGCGAGGGAAGAAACCGUGCCAGCUAACUACUGGCACCUUGACGGUACCUCGCCAGAAAGCCACGGCUAACUACGUGCCAGCAGCCGCGGUAAUACGUAGGUGGCAAGCGUUGUCCGGAAUUAUUGGGCGUAAAGCGCGCGCAGGCGGUCCCUUAAGUCUGAUGUGAAAGCCCACGGCUCAACCGUGGAGGGUCAUUGGAAACUGGGGGACUUGAGUGC